GAUUGGUCAUGAUAUUAAUACGUAAAGUAUGGGGAUAUGCAUACAGCAACGAAACUGAAGUUGUUAGAUACAUAGCCAUCAUGAUGCCACUUCUUGCAACAUCAAAUUUCUUGGAUGGCCUUCAAUGUGUUCUCUCAGGUGCUGUAAGAGGAUUUGGAUGGCAGAAAAUUGGGGCAAUCAUUAACCUUGGAUCCUAUUAUUUGGUGGGAAUACCUUGUGCUGUCUUG
rnacentral:misc_RNA from 1 species